GCCCCUGUGGCGGAAUUGGUAGACGCAGCAGACUCAAAAUCUGCCGUUUUCUGGAACGUGGGAGUUCGAGUCUCCCCGGGGGCACCA
rnacentral:tRNA from 1 species